rnacentral:ncRNA from 1 species
ACAUAUUCCAUGACUGGGAUAGUAACUGUUGACGUAAGUUCAAGCGAGCCGGGAUGGUGAGAGCCGGUACGGAGUCAAUAAGCGAAGCGCCCCCACGAGAAUGACUUCUGAACGUCACAGUAGGAAGUCACGGCAAAGACCGUUAUCUUAUUGAGUGGUUAAACGAAAGUUUGACAACAAGAGUGGUACCGCGAAUGCAUACGCCUUCGUCUCUUUU